rnacentral:rRNA from 1 species
AGUGAACGCUGGCGGCGUGCUUAACACAUGCAAGUCGAACGAGAACGGGAUAUAGCUUGCUAUAUUUGUCAGCUAAGUGGCGCACGGGCGAGUAAUGUAUAGGUAAUAUGCCUCUUACUAAGGGACAACAAUUGGAAACGAUUGCUAAUACCUUAUAUGCCUUUAAGACUAAAGUCUGCAAGGGAAAGAUUUAUUGGUAAGAGAUUAGCCUGUAUUGUAUCUGCUAGUUGGUGAGGUAAUGGCUCACCAAGGCUAUGACGCAUAACUGGUUUGAGAGGAGGACCAGUCACACUGGAACUGGGACACGGUCCAGACUCCUACGGGAGGCAGCAGUGGGGAAUAUUGCACAAUGGACGAAAGUCUGAUGCAGCAACGCCGCGUGGAGGAUGACACAUUUCGGUGCGUAAACUCCUUUUAUAUAGGAAGAUAAUGACGGUACUAUAUGAAUAAGCACCGGCUAACUCCGUGCCAGCAGCCGCGGUAA